rnacentral:lncRNA from 1 species
UGAACUUGGGAUCCUCGCAUCUGUACUUUCCAUCAGGGCCAAUACCAAAACCUUUAGGGUCGGCAAACACGUUUUCCAACAAUUGGCUCCGUGGAGGGUGCGGGCUUGCGUCGGCAAACUCAACAGCCUCCUCAACAACAUUGUCAAUGUUCUUCUCAAUGCUCUUCAGCUCAGGUUCAGUUGCGAGGUUCUGCUCAAUGAUGUACUUCUUCAAGGCCGUAAUCGGAUCCCUUGCAGCAUAGUGGGUUUUCUCAUCUGUGCACAGAGAAUGUGAUGGAGUCAGUUUAACAAUUGCUCAAACCAGACUGCUGUUAAAGACAGAAGAAACCCACGAAAGCUUAACAUUGAAGAGCCAGUAACUCAAGAAUGGUUCUGUAACACAUGUGAUGGAGAAAUGAAGACAACACAUGCAUAUAUAUACAUUUGUAAUGAUGUGACCGAUGACAGUCACGAAACAAGGUGCAAGUGCUCUGAACAUCAGUUGGCAUACAUUCAUGAAUCAUGAUACAAGGUCAUGGUCAAAUCGUUACAUAAAAUAAUCCAGACCCAGUUCAG